GGCCUUUGACUCAGCCGGGAUGACUGGAAGGACCUCAUUUUGAUCUAACAAAUGGACAAGAAUCUUUGGCCAACCCUGCUGAAGGGUUUGAAGGACAGGAUCCUGCCAGAUUCUCCAAAGGAAAGAUGCGGUACCUCUGUGCCUGACGGGGAUACCAACUUGCUGCUGCUGGAGAGAAUAACAAGGAGGUGAAGGGAACAUGUCGUGCCAACAGCAGAGGAAUGGGCCAGCUCCCCUACACACCAGCUAGGCAGAUUGAUGGAGAAGCAGCUAAGAAAAUGAAUGAAAACUACUCUGCUGAGGGGAAAAGAAAGAAUGAGAGUGUUGAGCAGCCAAUGGUUUUGUCUUUAUGUUGCUCCAGCUCAAGUGACUCUGCUGAACCCCCCUCUGGCAGUGUCCCAUGGGAAGAGCAGUGUGGGACAAGGCUGAUGCUGUUAUAAGAGCAGGAUGAGCUUUCGACUCCGCCACCAUGGAUGCAUCUUUGCCCUGCUCCUCUUCCUGUUGCUGUGACUGAAGGAUCAACCUCUGCCCCUUCUGCUGCGGCAGAGAUUGCAUCACCUGCUGCAUACACCACUGCAGUUUCUGUCUUUGUUCUUCCCCCUGCUGGUGGUGUGAUCUGAGGAUCUGACUUUGUCUCUCUGCUACCGUAUGAUUGCAAGGAUCUGUCCCCCACCCCUCCUGCUGCUGCCGUGUGAUUGCAGCACCCCUGCCUGUCCCUCUGUUAAUCUGCCGAGUGACAUCUCUGUGCACGUAUCUAACAAUAAAGAUUCAUCCCCUUGCUGCAUGGUCUCUC